GUGCAUCACCUACCUUGCUCCAAGGCACUAAGACACAGGGAGAAGUCACAGUCUAUGAACCAGGAAUGUGGACCUCACCAGAUACUGAAUCUGCUGGUGCCUUGAUCUUGGACUUCCCAGCCUCCAGAACUGUCCUGAACAGCUUGGAGUACUAAGAAGAGCGCUGGACAUGAACUGGAAUAUGUGGGUUCAAAUCCCACCUUUUCACUGCCCAGCUCUGUGACCCUGAGCAAGUGACUCAACCUCUGUGAGCCCCGUGUCCUCUCUGUAAAAUGGAGGUAUGAAUGCCUGUGAGAACAGGAUAUGGGGAGGGUUCCUGUAUAACACUUCGCCCUGCCCAUCUGAAUAAAAGGCUGCAUUCACCCUUCCUAAGGAAGACCACUUUCCGAUGUUCCAGUCUGAAGACAAGGAAUGCAAAGCUCACGGAUGCCGAGGAAUUUAUCCAAGAUCACUGUGAUGGGAUGGGAACUUUGGUUUUCAGCCUUUAAAUACAUUGGUGCAGAAGUCCAAGAAAGAUGCUUGGAAAGACCUAGUGAGAUGAAGAUCUCACUAUGUUGCCUGGGCUGGUCUUGAAUUCCUGAGCUCAAGUGAUCCUCCAACCUUGGCCUCCCAAAGUGAUGGAAUUACAGGCGUGAGUCACUGCACCUGGCUGAUACCAUUAUUUUUAAAGUUGGUUUCUUAUAGAUGACAUAAAAUUGGAUCUCCCCUCCCCUACAUUCAAUCUGACCGUUUCUGACUUUGAAUUGAUGUGUUUAAACCACUUACAUUAAUUAUUGAUACAGUUGAAUUUAGGCUACCCUUUUCUUAUUUGUUUUCUGCAUAUCUUCUCUGUUUUUCAUUUUUCUCUUUCCCCCUU
rnacentral:lncRNA from 1 species